rnacentral:rRNA from 1 species
UCGAGCGGUAGAGAGAAGCUUGCUUCUCUUGAGAGCGGCGGACGGGUGAGUAANGCCUAGGAAUCUGCCUGGUAGUGGGGGAUAACGUUCGGAAACGAACGCUAAUACCGCAUACGUCCUACGGGAGAAAGCAGGGGACCUUCGGGCCUUGCGCUAUCAGAUGAGCCUAGGUCGGAUUAGCUAGUUGGUGGGGUAAUGGCUCACCAAGGCGACGAUCCGUAACUGGUCUGAGAGGAUGAUCAGUCACACUGGAACUGAGACACGGUCCAGACUCCUACGGGAGGCAGCAGUGGGGAAUAUUGGACAAUGGGCGAAAGCCUGAUCCAGCCAUGCCGCGUGUGUGAAGAAGGUCUUCGGAUUGUAAAGCACUUUAAGUUGGGAGGAAGGGCCAUUACCUAAUACGUGAUGGUUUUGACGUUACCGACAGAAUAAGCACCGGCUAACUCUGUGCCAGCAGCCGCGGUAAUACAGAGGGUGCAAGCGUUAAUCGGAAUUACUGGGCGUAAAGCGCGCGUAGGUGGUUUGUUAAGUUGGAUGUGAAAUCCCCGGGCUCAACCUGGGAACUGCAUUCAAAACUGACUGACUAGAGUAUGGUAGAGGGUGGUGGAAUUUCCUGUGUAGCGGUGAAAUGCGUAGAUAUAGGAAGGAACACCAGUGGC